CUGGUACUAACAUCAGCAGCACCAAUACAACAGUCACACCAGAGAUGACCUCAGCUGCUGUUACCAACAUCUUCACCUCCCAUGAAAUAUUCACACCUGAGAUGAGCUACGCUGGUAAUGUAGUCUGAUGUUUCAUUUUAAUGUUUUAACUGAAUGUUUGUGA
rnacentral:lncRNA from 1 species